AGUCGAGCGAACAGAUGAAGUGCUUGCACUUCUGACGUUAGCGGCGAACGGGUGAGUAACACGUAAGGAAUCUACCUAUAAGCGGGGGAUAACAUUCGGAAACGGGUGCUAAUACCGCAUAAUAUCUUCUUCCGCAUGGAAGAAGAUUGAAAGACGGCUCUGCUGUCACUUAUAGAUGACCUUGCGGUGCAUUAGUUAGUUGGUGGGGUAACGGCCUACCAAGACGAUGAUGCAUAGCCGACCUGAGAGGGUGAUCGGCCACAUUGGGACUGAGACACGGCCCAAACUCCUACGGGAGGCAGCAGUAGGGAAUCUUCCGCAAUGGGCGAAAGCCUGACGGAGCAAUGCCGCGUGAGUGAAGAAGGCCUUCGGGUCGUAAAACUCUGUUAUAAGAGAAGAACAAAUUGUAGAGUAACUGCUACAGUCUUGACGGUAUCUUAUCAGAAAGCCACGGCUAACUACGUGCCAGCAGCCGCGGUAAUACGUAGGUGGCAAGCGUUGUCCGGAUUUAUUGGGCGUAAAGGGAGCGCAGGUGGUUUCUUAAGUCUGAUGUGAAAGCCCACGGCUUAACCGUGGAGGGUCAUUGGAAACUGGGAAACUUGAGUACAGAAGAGGAAUGUGGAACUCCAUGUGUAGCGGUGGAAUGCGUAGAUAUAUGGAAGAACACCAGUGGCGAAGGCGACAUUCUGGUCUGUUACUGACACUGAGGCUCGAAAGCGUGGGGAGCAAACAGGAUUAGAUACCCUGGUAGUCCACGCCGUAAACGAUGAGUGCUAGGUGUUGGAGGGUUUCCGCCCUUCAGUGCCGCAGUUAACGCAUUAAGCACUCCGCC
rnacentral:rRNA from 1 species